rnacentral:misc_RNA from 1 species
AAGUCGUAACAAGGUUUCCGUAGGUGAACCUCCGGAAGGAUCAUUAACACCCCCCGUGAACAUUGAUUCCUGCUCUUGUAACCCGCGAAGCUUGCAAUCUCUGGUAAAUCAUAGCCCGGAAAGUAGUUUUGAUUCAGAGACCUCUGGCCCGUGCGAAAAUUGGAACACUUACAAUUCGAGCGGUAGUUCUAUAGGCCUUGUUUCCCCAAGCAGUCAGUGUCUGAAAGUGUCAGUGAUUGUGCAAGGAUAACGCUUCACGAUUCUUGUAGACCGCAUCUCGCGGGCAGGAGCUAGGCCAAAGGGUCCCCAUGCCCCCUUACAACCCCACAGUUAAAUGUGAAGCUCAAUGUAAUACAUUGGGUAAAAAACCGAACAACUGUUAACAAUGGAUAUCUUGGUUCUC